rnacentral:rRNA from 1 species
UCAGGACGAACGCUGGCGGCGUGCCUAACACAUGCAAGUCGAGCGAGGAGAUCCUCGGGAUGAUCCUAGCGGCGGACGGGUGAGUAACACGUGGGCAACCUGCCUCAUAGAGAGGAAUAGCCUUCCGAAAGGGAGAUUAAUACCUCAUAACAUUGCAGUUUCGCAUGGAACAGCAAUUAAAGGAGUAAUCCGCUAUGAGAUGGGCCCGCGGCGCAUUAGCUAGUUGGUGAGGUAAUGGCUCACCAAGGCGACGAUGCGUAGCCGACCUGAGAGGGUGAUCGGCCACAUUGGGACUGAGACACGGCCCAGACUCCUACGGGAGGCAGCAGUGGGGAAUAUUGCACAAUGGGGGAAACCCUGAUGCAGCCAACGCCGCGUGAGUGAUGACGGCCUUCGGGUUGUAAAGCUCUGUCUUCAGGGACGAUAAUGACGGUACCUGAGGAGGAAGCCACGGCUAACUACGUGCCAGCAGCAGC